rnacentral:rRNA from 1 species
CCUACGGGUGGCUGCAGUAGGGAAUCUUUCACAAUGGGCGAAAGUCUGAUGGAGCAACGCCGCGUGCAGGAUGAAGGCCUUCGGGUUGUAAACUGCUUUUAUAAGCGAGAAAUAUGAUGGCAAUUUCUGAAUAAGGAUCGGCUAUUUACGUGCCAGCAGCCGCGGUCAUACGUAGGAUCCGAGGAUUAUCCGGGGUGAUUGUGUGUAAAGAGUUGCGUGGGGGGUAUAAUAAGUAGCGAGGGGAAUCUGGUGGCUCAACCAUUCAGACUAUUAGCUAAACUGUUAAGCUCGAGACCGUUAGGGGUAACUGGAAUUUCUAGUGUAGGAGUGAAAUGCGUAGAUAUUAGAAGGAACACCAAUGGCGAAGGCAGGUUACUGGGCCGUUUCUGACACUAAGGCACGAAAGCGUAGGGAGCAAACGGGAUUAGAUACCCGAGUAGUC